rnacentral:rRNA from 1 species
UUGGUAGAUCGUAGGGAUUGUCGCUGGCCUUUGGAAACGAAGGCAUGUGCACGUUCCGAGUUCUCCUUAGUCCUCCUUUGCCUUUCCUUUGGAAAACCCUUUCUUCACACCCGUGCACCCAUUGUAGGUCUCCGCGAGGGGAUCUAUGUCUUCACAUAAACACUACGUAUGUCUAGGAAUGUAUCUAAAAGCGUCGGACGGCUUGGCUUCGUGCCCGGUCGGCGACGGUAAAGAACCAUAAUACAACUUUCAGCAACGGAUCUCUUGGCUCUCGCAUCGAUGAAGAACGCAGCGAAUUGCGAUAAGUAAUGUGAAUUGCAGAUUUUCAGUGAAUCAUCGAAUCUUUGAACGCACCUUGCGCUCCUUGGUAUUCCGAGGAGCAUGCCUGUUUGAGUGUCAUUUAAUUCUCAACCAUCCCUCGAUUCGUUUCGAGGGUUUGGCUUGGAUUUUGGGGGCUGCCGGGCGACCCUAGGGUCUUCGGCUCUCCUUAAAAGCAUUAGCGAUGGCGGCGCGAUCUAACCCCCCCAUGCAUGAACGGCCUUCGACGUGAUAAUGAUCGUCGCUGGCUGGAGUGUGUUAGUGGGUGUCGUGAAACCGGGCCUUUUAAA